GCCAGUAUGGUGUAAUGGUUUGAAUGUCGGACUAUGAUUCUGGAAACCAGGGUUUGAAUCCCAGCUCAGCCA